rnacentral:rRNA from 1 species
UACGGAGGGUGCAAGCAUUAAUCGGAUUUACUGGGCGUAAAGGGCGCGUAGGCGGGAAAGGAAGUCAAAUGUGAAAUACCGGGGCUCAACUUCGGUGCUGCAUUUGAGACUCCUUUUCUGGAGGGUCAGCGGAGAAAACGGAAUUCCACGUGUAGCGGUGAAAUGCGUAGAUAUGUGGAGGAACACCUGUGGCGAAAGCGGUUUUCUAGCUGAUUUCUGACGCUGAGGCGCGAAAGCAAGGGGAGCAAACAGG